GACGAACGCUGGCGGCGUGCUUAACACAUGCAAGUCGAACGGAAAGGCCCUGCUUGCAGGGUGCUCGAGUGGCGAACGGGUGAGUAACACGUGGGUGAUCUGCCCCUUACUUUGGGAUAAGCCUGGGAAACUGGGUCUAAUACUGGAUAGGACCAUGCUGUAGGUGGUGUGGUGGAAAGAUUAGUUUCGGUAAGGGAUGAGCUCGCGGCCUAUCAGCUUGUUGGUGGGGUAAUGGCCUACCAAGGCGUCGACGGGUAGCCGGCCUGAGAGGGUGGACGGCAACAUUGGAACGGGAUACCGGCCCAGCUCCCUCGGGGGGGAGGAAGUGGGGAAUUUGGACCAUGGGCGCAAGCCUGAUGCAGCGACGCCGCGUGGGGGAUGACGGCCUUCGGGUUGUAAACUCCUUUCAGCCAUGACGAAGCCCUUGUGGUGACGGUAGUGGUAGAAGAAGCACCGGCUAACUACGUG
rnacentral:rRNA from 1 species